rnacentral:tRNA from 1 species
GGAGGUGUAGCUCAAUGGUGGAGUACGUUCUUAGCAAGCAUGAGGCCUUGGGUUCAGCUCCCAGCACCCA